CGGAUUUUAGCUAUACCGGAAGUUCUAAACAGGAAGUUGAGAAUAAUCAUUAUUUGGAUUGUUUCUUGUUUGUUCAUUACGUUUCACUGUGUUCAGUUGUUUAUCCCAGAAGCUUUGCUUUCAUUGGUCGAAAAUAGUUUGUGUAUUGUUGUACAUGAUUGUUUUUUACUGUUGAGCGGGAGUUCUGAGAUACCUCAGUUUGGUCACGGUUGUUCUGAGGGUGAACAUCAUUGAUAAUGGUAUAGCUGGUUGUUUCUUCGUAUUGUGGAUCUCCAUGGAACUCUGAUACAAUCUAGACUAAUAUCACAUGUGUGAAAGGAGGUUUGUUGUAAUGUGAGGGAAACAGUCAAUACCAUAUAUUGGUUGUCAUUACAUUACUACCGAUGUAUCUAAAGUUUGAUUAAAUGGAGAUGAACCUACACGAACUUGGUUUUCUUUGUCACAUGUAAAACAAGGUCCAAGUUUACAUUGGCGCCCAACGGGGGACCCACAAUUCAUCUGAAGAGGUAGCUGACAUGGUAACAAGCUUGUACACGUAGAUGUAAGACAUAAACAUUAUUUAGACUCAAGAAUCCAGAGGAUCUCAAAGG